rnacentral:sRNA from 2 species
AUAUUAAUUACGCUGAAUCAAUUUGAGCGGGAGAACCAAUUUUUAGGGGUGAAUCUUAUUGUUAUGAUAAGUAGGGUUAAUUUCUUCGACCCGAAUCCGUCAGCUAAUCUCGUAAGCGUUGAAGGGAAGUUGU